rnacentral:rRNA from 1 species
CAGCAGCCACGGUAAAACGUAGGUGGCAAGCGUUGUCCGGAACUAUUGGGCGUAAAGGGCUCGCAGGCGGUCUCUUAAGUCUGAUGUGAAAGCCCCCGGCUCAACCGGGGAGGGUCAUUGGAAACUGGGAAACUUGAGUGCAGAAGAGGAGAGUGGAAUUCCACGUGUAGCGGUGAAAUGCGUAGAGAUGUGGAGGAACACCAGUGGCGAAGGCGACUCUCUGGUCUGUAACUGACGCUGAGGAGCGAAAGCGUGGGGAGCGAACAGGAUUAGAGACCCGCGUAGUCCCUGUCUCUUAUAC